rnacentral:pre_miRNA from 1 species
UACCGAGGUUUUCCUCGGUAGUUAACUGUAGCCGGUUCCAAUAAAUUUUGACAGUUAACUGCCGAGGGGGCU